UAUAUUAUUUUCUUUUCUUAUCACAGGAAAGUUGCAUAGUGUAGCAAAGCAGUUGCAGGAUGCCUUUCCCUGGUUGCUGCCAGUUGCCUGUGCUGCCCAUCACCUGGCCCUGGCAUGUAGAGAUGCCUCAUCUCAGGUUCCUUACAUGGCUACCUUUAUGGACCACCUAGUAGCUCCACUUAUACUUCCAUAACAGUGCCAACAGAGCUGCUGUUCUGAAAAGCUGCAGCAGAGUCCUUGGGCCUUAAGGACUUAAAAGUAAAGGAUAUGGACAAAGUGACUGCAAUGGGAAAACUGUCAUCCCAGAAUAACAAAUGGGCACAGCUGUAUCCUUUAAUGAGCAAGCUGGCAGCCAUUGCCCUGACAGUUCCCAUCUCCAGUGUAAACUGUGAGAGGGAUUUUUCAACAAUGAACAUGGUGAAGUCUGACUUGAGAAACAGACUGCAGGGGGAUCACCUUGCAGCAUGUAUGCUGCCGAGCAUCAGCGGGCCACCUCUCAAGAAUUUCCGGCCAGAGCCUUACAGCUCUUCUAUAAAAAACCCAGAAAAAUUCAUUGUUCUGAGCCUGGGUGCAAACUUUGCCACUGAUUCUACAGCUCCACCAAGAAAUUAUUAUAUAUUGUUUUAUUUUUUUAUCAUUGUAUUUUUGUUAUUAUUUUUUAUUGUUACAUUCAGCCU